GAUGAAGAACGCAGCGAAAUGCGAUAAGUAGUGUGAAUUGCAGAAUUCAGUGAAUCAUCGAAUCUUUGAACGCACAUUGCGCCCUUUGGUAUUCCUUAGGGCAUGCCUGUUCGAGCGUCAUUUAAACCUUCAAGCUAAGCUUGGUGUUGGGUGACUGUCCGCUUCACUGCGGACUCGCCUCAAAAUUAUUGGCGGCCGGUACAUUGGCUUCGAGCGCAGCAGAAACGCGAACUCGGGCCCGUCGUAUUGGCUCCCAGAAGCUAUCUUCACAAUUUUGACCUCGGAUCAGGUAGGAAUACCCGCUGAACUUAAGCAUAUCAAUAAGCGGAGGA
rnacentral:misc_RNA from 1 species